GUGGGGAAUAUUGGACAAUGGGGGGAACCCUGAUCCAGCCAUGCCGCGUGUGUGAAGAAGGCCUUUUGGUUGUAAAGCACUUUAAGCGAGGAGGAGGCUACCGAGAUUAAUACUCUUGGAUAGUGGACGUUACUCGCAGAAUAAGCACCGGCUAACUCUGUGCCAGCAGCCGCGGUAAUACAGAGGGUGCAAGCGUUAAUCGGAUUUACUGGGCGUAAAGCGCGCGUAGGUGGCCAAUUAAGUCAAAUGUGAAAUCCCCGAGCUUAACUUGGGAAUUGCAUUCGAUACUGGUUGGCUAGAGUAUGGGAGAGGAUGGUAGAAUUCCAGGUGUAGCGGUGAAAUGCGUAGAGAUCUGGAGGAAUACCGAUGGCAAAGGCAGCCAUCUGGCCUAAUACUGACACUGAGGUGCGAAAGCAUGGGGAGCAAACAGGAUUAGAUACCCCAGUAGUCC
rnacentral:rRNA from 1 species